rnacentral:rRNA from 1 species
AUUGAACGCUAGCGGGAUGCUUUACACAUGCAAGUCGAACGAGUGGCGGACUGGUGAGUAAUAUAUGGGAACGUGCCCAGUAGCGGGGGAUAACGAGUAGAAAGAGUGGCUAAUACCGCAUACUGUGCGAGCGGCCGAUAGCUGAGUAGCUAGUUGGGGGGGGAAAGGCUCACCAAGGCAACGAUCCGUAGCUGGUUUGAGAGGACGACUAGCCACACUGGGAAUGAGACACGGCCCCAACUCCUACGGGAGGCAGCAGUGGGGAAUUUUGGACAAUGGGGGAAACCCUGAUCCAGCCAUCCCGCGUGUAUGAGAAGGCCUUCGGGUUGGAAAGUACUUUUGGCAGGGAAGAGGUAUCUGCAGAAUAAGCACCGGCUAACUACGUGCCAGCAGCCGCGGUAAUAC